GCUUGUUGAUGAAAGCCAAAGAAUCCCACCACUGCGCUUGCAGCCACUACAAUAGGGGAUGGCGAUUGCAACGCCAGAAUGCAGCCAGCCACUGCGGGCUGUUUGUCUAAGGAGGUUCCCACGCACCCCACCUGCUGCCCAGUGCUCAGGGGGCCCCUAAGUGAGCAGCUAUGACUAGCAACCAGUGCUAAACACUGGGCCUUACUCCUGAAACAUCUGUGGAGACCUGGUUGCAAAGAGUUCCACUUCAGCCCAUGCUGCAUGAAUCUGCUCAGCACUCCUCUCCGGUCGUGAGUCCCUACUGUGCAUGACACAUGGGUCACUUGGGACUUCACUGAAGUCCAGGGAGCCCCUUCCUGUCCAGUCGCUCCAGACCGCCCUCUCUGCUGCCCAGUGCCGAGGAAGUAUCCAGACGGGCGGAGAAACAGGCCGAGCAGAGCAAGCAAGCCCCGCCCAUCCGAGAAGCCCCGCCCAGCCGCGAAGCCCCGCCCAGCUGCGCAGCCUGCCCCCUGGCUCCUGCUCACCCAGGU